ensembl:lncRNA
GCCACAUUGUUUGUUUAAGUGCUAUGGCUCUGGUUGCACCAAGACAUUUUUCAGGUAUGGUGCAUUUAAAACACACUUCUACCGCAAACACAACGUGCCGGAAUCUGAUGUUAAUGUUGCCGCUGUCGUUGGUGCUUACAGGUGCCCAGUUGCCUUGUGCAUCAAUCACAGCCAAACAAUCAAGGACCUUUUGGGUCAUCUGAAGAAACAUAUUGAGGAAGGACAUGAAGUAUGCUGUCCGAAAUGGACGACCGAGACGACAUCAAAAGUUCCAUUUCAACUGUUCUACCAGACCUCCCUGAAUCCAUUCUGAAUAUUGUGGAGGAGACACUGCAGUCUCUGGGAGUGGGGACCAUUGACGAUUUCCAAUUCGUCCAAGAGGCUGAUCUCCUGUGUGUUUUACGGCCAAUACAAGCAAGAAAACUUGUAGCUUCUUGGAAGCAAACCUCUCAGGGCCCUGGAACCCAAAGCCAGCCAGAUGUUAACUCUUCAACUUCAUCAUCCCUUCUCACCUCUUCUACCUCCUCUCGCUCCUCCCUGUCACCUUGUCCAUCACCCAGAAACCUGCUUAAU